CUCUUCCCUAAUCUCAAACCCCCCUUCUGCGAGCAAGCUGAACGAGCGGCUAUCAUAGUGACCUCUUCUGGCUCUACAUUGCCCUCCACUGACAUCGAGUCAAAUAGCUUCCAGUCUCAUCCCAACAGUUACGCUUAGAAUACCCAUCAGUCAUAGACAGAAAAUCCAUCUCUAGCAGGAAUUCCAUCAAACAAGUGUCAAGCAAAACCCAAACAACCACGCAGAUCAUAAAAACGAGCCAACCCAUCUUGAAACAACAUAGCAUAAACAAAACCCAUCUUUCGAAUACCACAAUGAACUGAUUUCCCUCCUAAAACUCUCAAAAACUGCUCGCACGCUUUGAGCGCAAGAACAAAGCUCCUACAGUCCAUUUCAGCGCCAUUCUGAAGCAUUUGGCAGAAAAACAAGAAGCCACUAUAGCCCAUUUUGGCUUCAGAGUAGCCUCUAAUCAUGGUAUUCCAAAUAUAAGUGCUGGGGUUUGGUAUCUGCGAAAACAGAAGACGAGCAUGAUUUAUACCUGCAGUGUGAGAGAGGGCAAAAGGCCAAGGCAAGACAAAGCUUGGGGGUAGAUUAGCCAGACUAUAAAGGAGAAGGACUUAUUUGUACUUGUUCCAAGAUUGUGAGUCAAAAUAAUACCGCUUCUUUUCCUUCAAACGCAAUCUCGUCCUACGUUCCAGGUAGUUCCCCAUUCUUUUUACCUAAUCUCUUAAUAUAUAUGAACGGCAUCUUUGCUUAAGCCCCUUCAAUUAUUGCUUUCGAAUAUUCUCAUGGUAUUUGCUCUUUGUUUUUGAGGAUCCAAUUAAUAAGCAAAUCAUGGAGACUUGGCUGUUGACCUCAACACUCUCGUCUGCAUUGACCUCUUCAAUAUCUUGGAUGUGAACCAGGCUUGGAAUAUUGGGUGUUCUUGUUUUUGAUAAAUGUAAAGAGGUUUGGGGCAAUUUUGAUGCCUUCUGCGAAUCCCUCCAUCUGGGCUUACCAAAAGAGGAGGAGGAACGAAGCAUGUGCUCUAAGUCCACCCAAAGUUUCAUCAAUAAGGUCCGCAGAGAGGGAGAGCUACAUCCUGCAUUUUCUUGAGAUUUCUGCUAGGUUUUUGUUCGAAUAAGCAACAAGGUGCACGAUAUUGUUG